GAUGAACGCUGGCGGCGUGCCUAAUACAUGCAAGUCGAGCGAACGGACGAGAAGCUUGCUUCUCUGAUGUUAGCGGCGGACGGGUGAGUAACACGUGGAUAACCUACCUAUAAGACUGGGAUAACUUCGGGAAACCGGAGCUAAUACCGGAUAAUAUUUUGAACCGCAUGGUUCAAAAGUGAAAGACGGUCUUGCUGUCACUUAUAGAUGGAUCCGCGCUGCAUUAGCUAGUUGGUAAGGUAACGGCUUACCAAGGCAACGAUGCAUAGCCGACCUGAGAGGGUGAUCGGCGACACGGGAACGGAGACACGGUCCAGACUCCUACGGGAGGCAGCAGUAGGGAAUCUUACGCAAUGGGCGAAAGCCUGACGGAGCAACGCCGCGUGAGUGAUGAAGGUCUUCGGAUCGUAAAACUCUGUUAUUAGGGAAGAACAUAUGUGUAAGUAACUGUGCACAUCUUGACGGUACCUAAUCAGAAAGCCACGGCUAACUACGUG
rnacentral:rRNA from 1 species